AAACAGUGAAUGAAACUUGAAAAACAGAGUGACACAAACUGUGAAAUAAGCCAGAGUGUAACUACAGCAUCGGUUCUCACAAAGAUUUGUCUAGAUAUGAAGAUAGAAACUCUGCUGGAGCUGCUGCAUAUGUCUUACUUGGACAUCUAAUAAGGCUCAGCCAGCAUGAUGUCACCAGUGCACUGGGCCAACCAGCCCUUCUGUGGGGUGGAAAGGUGAGCAAAGAAAAUGAAAAUGUAUUCCACUGUCUUCCAGCUCCCUUUAUUUCCAUCAAGAAAUCUGCUGUCAUAUCCUUUGUUGGUUAUUUUAGUUUUCACUUUCAUUCAGUUUUAAGUACUUUUCUUAAUCUUAUUCUACAGCUGUUAAUACAAUGUUUCUUGGCAGAUUUUUGGGUCAAUGUACUUAGGAUACAUUAUAGUUUCUGACCCUUAGUGAUGCUAUGGACAUUUGGCUUGGAACAGCUCAAUCUCUCCAAUUUCUUUUGUGUUCACUGUUUCAAGGUCUGGAUUUAGCUCAUUUUUUUUUUUUUUUUCAGGGAGAAAGUAAAUCUUCAGAUAUUUUAUUUUAUGAGAAUCCACAAUGCAAUUAAACAUUUAUUAUAUACAGUAUCUAGUUAUAUUUUAGUGGGAGCCCUUCAAAAUGCUGCCCAUUGAAAAUAUUCAGCCCAGAAUAUUUACCAUAAAUUCCAUGUCUGAAAUAACUAUAUUGUUAACAUACUGGAAUGGUAUAAAAUAAUUUUAAAGAUUAUCAAAACACCUGGC
rnacentral:lncRNA from 1 species